AUUUAUUGCCAGGGUGUUGCCAAGAACCUGCCAAGUAUGUGUACUAGAUAUCGGGAUCCAACUUCAUGCUUCUUCCCUCAGAACCUGAUUGACAACGUAAAAACUCCUCUUUUUAUUCUUAAUGCCGCCUAUGAUUCAUGGCAGGUCCAGGCUAGCUUAGCUUCUCCUACAGGAGUUUGG